rnacentral:lncRNA from 1 species
CCAUCUGAUCAGAGAGAAACUUCUAAUGUGUGUGACCACAUAGAUUCAAACCUAAGCCGGUAGCACAGAAAUAAAUUUUUAUAUCAAUCAGAGUAACCAUCUAGUAAUAAUAUCUGACAUCCAAAUAGAUCGAAUAUACAUAAAGUAACACUCAAAAACUUAUUUGGAUACAAUUAUUGUAUAAUUCAUCCCUUUGACCCUUGAUGCUAGGAUGACUUAGAG